rnacentral:lncRNA from 1 species
UUGAACGAGGGAACAGAGUUGAAGGUCAAAUCCAAAGACAAAUAUGAAGUUGUGUUGAAGGCUAAGCCAUUUGCUUAUGCUUCAAAGAAGCAUUUCAAAGAAUGUGAAAAGCCUAAGCCUUCACCAACUCCAUACUAUUACAAGUCACCUCCUCCUCCAUCUCCAGUUUACAUAUACAAGUCACCACCUCCUCCAUCACCUACUUAUGUUUACAAGUCACCACCACCACCAGUGAAGUCACCUCCCUAUUACUAUCAAUCUCCACCUCCACCAUCACCAAAACCUCAGCCUCCUUAUUAUUAUCACUCUCCACCUCCUCCAACACCAGUUGUUAAGCCACCAUACUACUACCAAUCUCCACCUCCUCCAUCUCCAAAACCUAAGCCUCCAUACUACUACCAAUCUCCUCCUCCUCCAUCACCAAAACCUAAACCUCCUUACUACUACCAAUCUCCACCUCCUCCAUCACCAAAACCUCAGCCUCCAUACUACUAUCAAUCUCCACCUCCUCCAACACCAGUUGUGAAGCCACCAUACUACUACCAAUCUCCACCUCCUCCAUCACCAAAACCUCAGCCUCCUUACUAUUACCAAUCUCCACCUCCUCCAACACCAGUUGUUAAGCCACCAUACUACUAUAAAUCUCCACCUCCCCCAUCACCCUCUCCUCCACCACCAUACUACUACAAAUCUCCACCACCACCAUCCCCAUCACCGCCACCUCCAUACUACUAUAAAUCUCCACCUCCACCAUCACCGGUUGUUAAGCCACCAUACUACUAUAAAUCCCCACCUCCCCCAUCACCCUCUCCUCCCCCUCCAUACUACUAUAAAUCUCCACCUCCAUACUACUACCACUCUCCACCUCCACCAUCACCAGUUGUUAAGCCACCAUACUACUACAAAUCUCCACCUCCACCAUCACCCUCACCUCCCCCUCCAUACUACUAUAAAUCUCCACCCCCACCUUCACCAUCCCCUCCUCCUCCAUACUAUUAUAAAUCACCACCACCACCAUCCCCAUCACCGCCACCUCCAUACUAUUACAAAUCCCCUCCACCUCCAUCCCCAUCUCCACCGCCUCCUUAUUACUAUCACAGUCCUCCUCCACCAUCUCCCACUCCUCAUCCUCCCUACUACUACAAAUCCCCUCCACCACCAACGUCCUAUCCUCCACCUCCUUACCACUAUGUGAGCCCUCCACCACCUUCUCCAUCUCCACCUCCACCAUACUAUUACAAAUCACCACCUCCUCCCUCCCCAGCCCCCGCUCCAAAGUACAUUUACAAAUCACCUCCACCUCCAGCUUACAUCUAUUCUUCCCCACCUCCACCCAUCUACAAGUAAGCUCGGAUUGUGGAAGCACCAUUCACCACAAAUCAUGUAAGUUCAGGAUUCCAACAUUGAUCAUAAGUAAAAUUAGUUAAUUAUACGUGUAUGAAUUUUAGUAAUGGAAAUUCCCACUGAAUUAUUUUUUCAGGUUCUAGUUUUCAUGGAGGAAUAAAGGCAAGCUCCAUUUGGAGUGAAGUGAAAUAUCUAUCUUCCUGUCCAAGUUCUUUGAAUAAUAAAAGUCUGAAUGUGUCAUCUCUGGGCUACAAUGUUUGUGAUUCAGACCCGGUUGGUUCAAUUUGUUUGAUGGCCAUCUUGCACGUCCUGAUCUUAUUGUGUUCAAGUGACGGACAAAUGAAAAAGAGGAAGAGAGAUUUAAAGUGUAAAUGCCAAGUGAAAGUGAAAAAGUACAGUCCACUCUUAGAGAUCUCUUAAAUUUAUUUGUUUAUAGGCCGUCUAUGAUUGCUUUUCUAUUUAUUGUGGAAUUUUUGUAUUGUACCAGUUGUUGUGUUUGCAAUAAGUAAUAGUAAUAAACCACCAAAUUCAGGUUUCCUAACUUUCCUUUAAAAUGAAUGAAUAAAUAAGAAGUAUAAAAAGUAUGAUACCACAACCCUUAUAUAACAAAACUACCUUAAGCUUAUUCUCUUUACCUUAAUCCUUACCUUAAACCUUAAACUCUGUUUCAAGACAACAAUUUGAAUACGAAAAACAUAUGUCACGCGUUGUAGACAUUAUUCAUUACCAAGUUUUCAACUGGGUCAGAGUAAAAAUUUCACAUCCUACACUUCUGAAAAUCCUCUUGUUAUUAUUCUUAUGUUACCACAAUUUUGGUUUCCUAAUAACCAUUUGCAUUUAUACCAUUCUCGAGAUAUCAAAUAGUACAUCAGAAAGAGUCUCUGCCUGAUGCCUAUCAAACUCAAUAUCUGCCCACUAUGAUGAUUCUUUAGAAGGCACCAGCUAAAGUUUCUGCAUGUUUGAACUUUGCUCAUAAACAGAUAAGAUAAACAAACAAUUGACAUAAAUUAUUUGGACUCAACACCAAAUCACGUUUCCUUCUUGGAAUCUUUGCUCAUUUCUUUUGUAGUACGUACCAAUUAUUAAUUAUUAAUUUAACUAUAAGUCUUCUUCUUCUUCUAGCCAUAUCCAAGCAGGUCCCAUUAUCUAAUUAAAUAGCCCCCAAUAAUCUGAUCAAAUCCACAUAACUGAUUCGUGGACCCUUUCUUCCUUCUAAUUCAUGCAAUUUCCCUAAAGUUACAAAAACUAAUUUCACACUGCUACUAACAACCACAGCAUCAGCAUCUUAAUUAUUUCAUUUACCAUGUCACAAAAUUUGAAGUUGUGAUGAUGACAAGUUCUAAGAUUAUUUAAAUAUGAAUCAGUAGUUUGAAUUUAUAUAAGCUAUCACUAACGCAUGAUUUAGUUAUGAUUUGAAUUAGUCAUUGACAGAUACUGAUAAUUUUUAACAGUAUUAAUUAUCAUCCUGAGUUGUAUUAAGCUCAAAUGUGUACCUAACAAAGGCAACUAAAAAUUAAAGAAAGGAAUUCACAAGCACUAAUUAUUGCUGUGUUUACAAGAAAACAAAAAAAGUGGUCUUCCAACUAAUAUAAGAGAAAGUGGCAACUUGCUAUAUAAAGGGAAACAUAAAGAUAGAAAAGGGUUGAAAUGCUAAUUUGUUAUGGGUGCUGUCAUGCAUCAAUUCUGAUUAAUCUAAAUUUUUGAAGUUAUAUAAAACUACAAAGAGAACGAUGGCGCACCGAACAAUCAUUAUAAAGAAGAGGUCUACCCACUAUUUGAGGAACUGCUCAUCAUCACUUAAUGUAAAGAAUAACUUUUUAAUAUUUUAUAACUUUUCAAACUACUAAUUAAAUAAAUGAGCAUAAAAUAAUUUGUAUGCUUGAACCAAUAAUGUUUUCUGAAAAAAAAAACACUAUUGUGAUGCUGAUGUUUAAUAAACAACUGUAUUAAGAAAUGGGUUUUUCAAUUAUCAUUUUAAGAAUUAUUUGGUUGUUUUCAAGAGGGGUUUCUAGGAAGGAAAGGAUGGGGUUGGGAAAGGAUUAAUUAAGUAACCUUUUGCUUUGGGGGUGUUUUUUUUUAUCAUCAACAAUAAUGAAUAAAUAAAUAUUGAUCACUUUAGGGGUGAUCCAACUCUUAUACAACAUACUAAAACAGUCGGCCAACAUAAUACUAUCUAAACUACUCAAAAGUCAUCUAAACUACUCUAAAACAAGAAGCUCCAGAACGAGAAACAAACCAUAAGUUCAAGACACCAAUCUGAAUAAGAAAAACAAGCAGAUGAAAUUUUAAAGGAAAUCCAAGAUCAAACUUUCAAUUGAGUUAGAGAAAACGUCUCUGAAUGAUGCGUCACUCCACCUUUAAAGAUGACAUUGUUCCUAAGACAGAAAAUCUCACUAACCAUCACAAUUCAAACAUUUUUCAAAAUCAAAUUAACAGAAUUAGGUGCAUUACACAGGUUGCUGGCAAGAAACUUGUAUUUCCAAACAAAGGGAGUGACAAAAUUUGUACUCUGUUGGUAGAAGAAUGAAGUACUAUAUUCUUGCAGCUGUACAUUUAUCUAAUAGAUGCAUGCACUGUUUUCCCAAGGUUGUUUCCAUUUUCUGUCUGUAUCACAUAUAUUAAGCAAAAUGUUCAUUCUGCUGGAUGCAGUAUUAUGCUGCAGAGAUUCUGCUUUUGGCUUAUUUUGUCUUAUGAGCUUUGAUUCUCUAAACCUUUUUGUAAAGAGUUGGAGAGCAUACCUUAAAUGCUUCAAUUCUAUUUAUUUCAUUCUUUCCCAAUAAAAGAAAAGGAAUUGUUCAUGUGAGAAAUAUUGGAAUCCUAUUAAGGUAUUUUUAUAACCAAUGUGAAGAAAUUUGGUCUGUAGUUAAUUUCAGUUAAGGUUUAUUGUCAUGGCUGAUUUUGAUUUUUACUCUUUGUAAACAACUGAAAUAAUUUACAACUAGCAUUAUGGAUAAUAAUCUUACAUUAGCAUAGGAUCCUAUUGUCAUUUUCACUUCUUCACACUACUAUUGCAGCAAAAUGGCAUAAUGUUGCAGUAGUUUGCACCAUCUUAGUCUCUUAAAGAUCCUUUUUUCUGUGCUCAUGUGAUGUAUGACAGAAGAUAUGCUGCCACUGAAAAAGAGGUUCUGCUUCUUCAUAUUUCACAAUCUUGUUGCACCUCAUGAGGUGUGUGAUUCAAAAAGUUAUUACAUAUAAAUACUAAUUAAUGGGAUGAAUUAUAUAAUAAUUAGAUAAUAAUAUUAGAAUAAGGACUAGUGUUUAAUCUCUAAUUUUUUUCUUAUUCUAAACAUACAUGUAACCAUGUUUAGAAAGUUAUUUGGUUUACGCAAUAACUAUAAGUGUGAAAAAUUUAAACUACUUUUUCAUCAUAUUUGGUUAAAGACAAAGUUUUAUUGUUUAAUCUGAUACCAUAUGAUGUUGUAUAUUUUUAUCAUUUACCUUCAUCAUCUUCACCCAAUAGUAAUGAUAAUAAUAUAGUAACCACAUGAAAUAUUUUAAUAUUUUAAUAUUUGAUAUUUUAUUGUUUAACUAUUAUAUUAUUUCACCUAGUUUUGUUUUGUUUUUAAAAGCAAAAAAUUACAAAAACAUAUAGUGUAAUUUUCGUAAUGAUAAUAAUUUAAAAAAUAAAUAAAUACUUCAACAUUACAAUAAAAUCAUUAGAAACUAAUUUUAAACCUAAAAUAAUUACUUACUAUUUGACGAUCACUUUAUAAAUUAAAAUAUUAUUGGUAUCUAAAGUAAUUUUUAUUAUUAAUAAAAAUACAUCAUUACCAAAAUUUUAGUUCCUUAUUAUUUAUUAAUCUUUUAAAGAUCAAAUUAAAAUUUAAAAUAUUAAUAGUUAAAAUCUUGAUCCUUAAUUUAGAUACUAAUUUAUAAUUUAUAUUAUUUUUUAUUAAUAAUAAAAUUAGUUUAAAUACGAAUAAUUUUUUAGUUUCAUUAUCUAAUUUAGUCUAUUAAUUAUUAUUUUUAUCUUAAAAUUUGGUUUGAUGGUUUGUUACAGUAGAAGUUCAUUUUUAUUGAAGUUUGAUUUGGUUCUACGUGUUAUGUUUUAGAAAUUUAAUUUCUUAGCGUCACUUUGGUCAUACGUGGUUCAUUCAGAUUGAGAGGCUAUGAGCCCAAUGGGCAAGCACCCAUUUCCUCUAAGAAUUAUUUUUCCUGCACCCCUACGUUUUUCUUUCUGCACCCCAUAAUUUUAAAAAUUCCAAAAUUGAUUUUGACCUUGACCCUUUAUUUAGAAAAGGACACCGUGAAAUGUGCUACGGACUCAUUAAUAAUAGUAUAAAUUAUUAUGUUAUACUCUAAUCGAUAUGAAUUAUAAAAACGUUAAAUCUCAGAAAAACUAUUUAAAAAAUAUUAAAAUUAAAAUACCAACUCACUCAAUGUAUACUUUUUUAUUAUGAAUAGAAAUAGUUCAAUCCUUGUUGGAUUAUAAACAUUUUCCUGAUUUUGAAAAAUAAAUAAGUAGCAAAUGAAUGAAGUGGAAGGGAUUAAUGGAACUGUAGGAUGACAAAGACUAAAUUAAUAAUUUACAAAAUUAAAAACCAAUUCAAUAAAUUGUUAUUAAUAUAAUGAAUUGAUGUUUUUGAUUUUUUCAUAUAACAAUUGGUGAAGUUCUGAGGUAGACAAGUUGUCGCCCAACAAACUUUGACACUUCUUCUCAGAACAAGUGGUAGACCAUACAUGCAUCCUUAUUCUAAACAAAAAAAAAACAUCAAAUGUUUCAAAAAAAAACUCAAUAUUAUCCAUACCGAUGUGAUAAUGUCGUAUUCAAAAAAAAAAAAUUAUACCAAUUUGUUUUACACUAAAAAAAAUCCAAACUUUCUUCAAAUGGGAGUAAAAUACUAAACUUUCCUUUUCUCUUGACCGAGUCAACUUUCUGAACCCACUUUGCUUGCAAUGAAAAAAUGUAAUUUUUUUGACUUAAUCGUUAUGGGAAAGAAGAUUGACUGAUACAAAGUUGGAACAGAUAUGAAAAGAACCUGAACUGUUUACAGUGGUGUCACGUUAUUACCAUGAAAGUAGAUUAAAACAAACCUCAAAAGGUUAUUAUUCUUCAAUUCCCUUCACGUAAGUUGCAGUGUGGAUACUGUGAAUUUUCUUUGCUUUCAACUGGGACCUGUAGAAAGAGAAAAUGACUGCAAACAAGAAAGACACCCUUUGGAUUUCUCUUUCUCUCUCUCUCUCUCUUUCCCUCGUAAUUUUAUUUUUGAGACAACUCACAGAAGUCUUGCAAGUUGUAACCUUCAGUUUCUGGUUUCAGCCGACUAGUUUGAUCAGGUUCCGUCUACCCAGAUCUACUUUUGCCACAAUUUAUUCACUUUUUUCAUUUCUUGGAUCUAUUGCAUCUCUUGGGUAUCCUUAUUCUAUCUCAAUUUGAAGUCUUUCAUGCCAAGCUUCUUCUGGGAUCCCUUUUGAUCUUCUUUGUUGCUUAGUUUCUCGUAUAAUUUGCUCCUUGCUUCUUCUUCUGGCUUACUAUUUAUAAAGAUUUUAUCUUUUAUCGUUUCUUAUAAUUAUUUGUUAUCUUGGUAUUUACGUUUAGUUAUGAUGGUGCCCCUCUUUAAGUUUUCAAUGUUCUUUCCAAUUCAACUUUGCUUGAAAGAUUAUAUUAUACAGUGUCCUAUUUUUUUUUCCUCUGUGAUUUUAUUCAUGGUCCUUUGUUUUAUGUCUUUCCAUGCUUUCUAGUACAAUUUCGGAUUGUCUGAACUUUGAUUGCUGUUAGAAACGAUGGGGAUGAAGUGAAAUUCAUGAGGUUUGACCCUGCAUAGCAUUGUCAUUUGCAUGUUUGAGAAUUUGGAUUGAUCUCUGAAAGUUCAUGUAAGACUUAUUUUCAGAUAGUGAUGUUGGUUCUUUCUCCGUAGUAGAAUUUGGCAUGCAACUAUAGUUGAGUUCUGAUGUUGCUUCCAUGUCCAAACUCCCAAGUAGUAAAGGCUUACAAUUUUACUUCUUAUAUAUUUCAUGCCCAUUUGCCCUAUUUGUUUAAUCAUAUAUUGUGCAGACAUUGUACUUCUUGUUUCUUCUUUGAUGAAUUAGUCAACUCUAAAUGAUUGGUUUGGUUACUUUAAACUUCUAUCUUAGUACAAGUAAAGAAUACUGAUUGGAAAAUAUAUAUUUUUCUUGAAUUGUGCAUGACAAAUGUUUGAAAUGGGCUUUAUUUCUACUUGGCAGUUAAGCGUGGUUUUGGCAGGCUAAUUCUGAAAACCGGCUAGAAUGAAGAAGGCCAUUGGUCAAACUGUUAGGGAACUGUGAGUCUAACUGUUUAGGGUGGUGUUUGUUACUAUUUUUUAACUCAGCCCUAUUUCAUAAUUCCUCACUAUCUUCAUUGUCCUUGCAGUAAAAGAGAAGUAAAUAAGAAAGUGCUUAAAGUUCCUGGGAUAGAACAGAAGGUAAAUUUUGUUCGCUUAACAUUUACUGUAAAACUGAAUUGCAUAUAAUAUAACUCAUUGCAAAGACAAUGGUGUGAGGAUUUAUGUGAAGUCUGCAAUCUGAAUUUACUUUUCUAAUAUUUGCUCACAAAAGAAAUUGUUUGUUGACUAUCUUGGAGCUUACACAUUAUAAUCUUACUGUGCAAAUUUUAAUUAGACUCGUCUCUCGUCUCUUCCAGAUUCUUGAUGCUACCAGCAAUGAAGCCUGGGGUCCUCAUGGAUCACUUCUAGCAGAUAUUGCUCAGGCUACCAGAAAUUAGUAAGCUUGAACUCAUCAUUUAUGCUUGAUAUUGUAUACAAAUAUCUCACUUUUGAGCUCCCUUGCAGUCAUGAAUACCAAAUUAUCAUGGAAAUAAUCUGGAAGCGGAUUAAUGACACAGGCAAGAAUUGGCGGCAUGUCUAUAAGGUUUGUGGAACUUUUUUAUGUUUUAGAUGGAAUUACUCUUGGAAUCUCUUUUUUCUUUUGUUUAUUGUCAUAACAACACUCUUCUGUUUUGACCUUCAAUAUGCAUCCGUGAACUGAAGUACACUAUUUAUGAAAUUUUCUCAAUACUUAUUUACAAACAACUAAUGGUUCUUGCCUUUCAAGAACUCUGUCUAGUAUGUUUAUGCAUUUAUUUCUGAUCAUGCCCUCUUGGAAAAGAAUGGCUCUUACAUUUUUGUAUUAAAUGUUCAACAACAGGCUUUGACAGUAUUAGAAUAUGUGGUGGCUAAUGGGUCAGAGCGAGUCAUAGAGGAGAUUAGGGAGCAUGCCCACCAAAUAUCGGUAAUUUCCUGUCAAUUGAAACAUUUAUAAACUGUUUAGUAUUUUUCAUUCAAACUAUUAAUAUUAUUGAAAUGAUCUAAAAAUUAGAAUGCAGCUUGAUAAUGUUGUAAAUGUUCAUAUCAACAGACAUUGUCCAAUUUUCAAUAUAUUGAUUCCAGUGGAAGAGACCAGGGAAACAAUGUCAGGAAGAAAUCACAGAAUCUCAUUCUCCUUGUGAAUGAUAAAGAAAGAAUCAUAGAGGUUAGACAGAAGGCUGCUGCUAACAGGGACAAGUAAUUCUCCUCUUAUUAGUCUGUUUUUUUAUAUAUAUUUUGAACUUUGUUAUUUUCCAGUUGCUAUAAAAACUUAUGUCUUCUGCCUUGCUGGGGAAGAAAAUAUAUUUCUUUUCCCUGUAUUUUGUAAUAUCCAUCCAUUGUGUAUUUGAAUUUCUUUUGGGUUUCUAGAUCACAAAUGUAAAAUCACAGAGUAUAUUAUGUAAAUAUGUAUGUGGGUUAAUCCGGAGGAGAUAUGUAAUGUAAUUGCCCAGCAUGAUUCACCAGGUUUCGCGCCAGUUCAACAGGUGGAAUGUACAGGCCUGGUUCUCAUUCUAGCAGUGGGGCUUAUGGUGAUAGAUAUGAAGAUGAUCGUUAUAGAAGCAGGGAGGAAGAUAGAAGUGAUCAUGGCUAUGGCAGAGAAAGAGAGUGGGGCUAUAGAGAUGAUGAUCGGUAUAGUCGUGAAGGAGAUCGUUAUGGCAGAGAUAAUGAGGAAAGCUACAGAAAAGAUGGCUAUAGGGAUGAUGAGUACCAUAGAAGAAGUGUUGAUGAUGGCCAAUAUGGCUCAAGAAGCAGGAGCUCUGACAGAGAUCAUGAUCAUAAUGUUGAUGAUGAUGGUCAGCGUUCAUCUGGGUACGUGCCUGAGAUAGCCAAAAAAAAACAUCUAACAAAAUCUGAAAUAGAUAAUGUUUUUAUUUUUCAUAAUUAUAGUUCUUGGGGUUCAUUUGGUUUUGGAUCUUAGACUCUUAUUAGUUGUUAUGAUCUGUAUAUAUAUAUAUGCAUAUUAGAUGUAAAAAACUUAGACUACUUCAAAAGACAAGUACACAGCAUAAUCCGUAUUAGCUUUGAUGUUAGGAUUCAUGGUUGCACAACAUUCCUCUCUCAUUCUGCUUACUCCAUCCUUUUUUACAAUGUUGUCUCAGAGGUAGCAUUGCUAAAGCUGAAGCUCAUUCAAUGGAAGGAAGGUAAAUCAUCCCUCUCUCUCAUAUCACACACAUAUCCAUGCAUAAUGGCCAUUUAGCAUUAUUUUGGAUGACCAUAUGCAAUUCCAUGGGCAGGUUAGAGCAGAAACUUUCUGAGCAAAAUGUGGGUGCUCCUCCCAGUUAUGAAGAAGCUCUUUCUCAAAGCCCUUUACACAAUGAAAGGUAUGAAUUUAAUAAUACCGAGAUUAUCUAUUCCAAUUCCGAACAUAUUUGUUACUAUAUCACUUUGAUUGAAGGGAUGGGGGAAUUUCAGCUGCAAAAGCCUCUUCUCCUGUAAGUGACAAUCCUACACAAACAGCUGCUGCUGCCAGUACUGCAACAUCUGGAAACCCAGAAUCUAAGGCUUUUGAUGAAUUUGAUCCUCGUGGUCAUCCUGCAUCAGGUGUGGCAAGUUCUUUGUUUUGAAAAUUGAGUACACAUGUUGAAGUUUAUUAUUUUUAAUUGUCCUUUUUCUACUUCAUGUCAGGUUCGACACUCACAUAUAUGUAUGUGUCCAAUGAAAUAUAUUUAUAAUUAUCAACAUAUGAUAGCAAAUUUUUAUUGUAUGUUUCUUAUUAGCUGCCCGAGCUCCUGCUAGUAAUGUUGAACUGGACUUGUUCGGCUCCCUAUCUGAACCAUUCUCUUCAAAUGCAUUGGCUCCUGUGUCUUCUGCACCAGAAACAACAACCUCUCAAGGCAACACAAACCUUGAUUCAACUGUGGCCUUUGCACCACCACCAUCUGCUACUAAUAAUUUCAAUACGGUAGGAAUUUGCUUUUUUGUUUAUACCUUGACUCUAAGAAAGUAUUUGAAUACGCUGUAUUAUUUAAUAAGAAUGAAUUUUUGUGUAUGGCUUGGAAUGAUUUUCUUGCAUGCUUAGGUGGGUAGCUUCAACUUAAGAAAUGUAGCGUAUUAAAUACUGUAACUUCUGUAAAACAUUAAUUUAAUUUGUAUCCUUUGACAAGAGUUCAUCUCUGUUAAUCCUGGUUUUUUGUUGGUUUAACUUUUGGCAGGUGUUUGAAGACCCAUUUGGUGAUUCACCGUUUAAGGCUCUUCCUUCUGCUGAAACUCCUCCACCUC